GCCUACGGGGCGCAGCAGUCGAGAAUCAUUCACAAUGGGGGAAACCCUGAUGGUGCGACGCCGCGUGGGGGAAUGAAGGUCUUCGGAUUGUAAACCCCUGUCAUGUGGGAGCAAAUUAAAAAGAUAGUACCACAAGAGGAAGAGACGGCUAACUCUGUGCCAGCAGCCGCGGUAAUACAGAGGUCUCAAGCGUUGUUCGGAAUCACUGGGCGUAAAGCGUGCGUAGGCUGCUUCGUAAGUCGUGUGUGAAAGGCGCGGGCUCAACCCGCGGACGGCACAUGAUACUGCGAGGCUAGAGUAAUGGG
rnacentral:rRNA from 1 species